AGUCGGCAAUCCUCUCAUUCACUCAGCCGGUACAUCAUUGGUCGUUGGAAUUUGAUCAGGAUCCAACAACUACAUGAUGUGCCGGCUCAAUGAAUGCGGAGAAUUUCUGAC
rnacentral:pre_miRNA from 1 species